GCUGGCGGCAGGCUUAACACAUGCAAGUCGAACGCCCCGCAAGGGGAGUGGCAGACGGGUGAGGAACACGUGGGAACGUACCCUUUGGUUCGGAACAACCCUGGGAAACUAGGGCUAAUACCGGAUACGAGCGAGAGCUGAAAGGUUUACCGCCGAAGGAUCGGCCCGCGUCUGAUUAGCUAAUUGGUGAGGUAAUGGCUCACCAAGGCGACGAUCAGUAGCUGGUCUGAGAGGAUGAUCAGCCACAUUGGGACUGAGACACGGCCCAAACUCCUACGGGAGGCAGCAGUGGGGAAUAUUGGACAAUGGGCGCAAGCCUGAUCCAGCCAUGCCGCGUGAGUGAUGACGGCCCUAGGGUUGUAAAGCUCUUUUACCCGGGAAGAUAAUGACGGUACCGGGAGAAUAAGCCCCGGCUAACUUCGUGCCAGCAGCCGCGGUAAUACGAAGGGGGCUAGCGUUGUUCGGAUUUACUGGGCGUAAAGCGCACGUAGGCGGACGCUUAAGUCAGGGGUGAAAUCCCGAGGCUCAACCUCGGAACUGCCUUUGAUACUGGGUGUCUUGAGUCCGGAAGAGGUGAGUGGAACUGCGA
rnacentral:rRNA from 1 species